ensembl:snRNA U6 U6 spliceosomal RNA
GUGCUCACUUUGGCAACACAUUUACAAAAAUUAGUCUGAUACAGAGAAGACUAGCAUGGCCCCCAGAAAGGAUGACAUGCAAAUUCGGGAAAUAUCCAUAUCCCUU